rnacentral:misc_RNA from 1 species
GAUGAAACGUAGCGAAAUGCGAUAAGUAAUGUGAAUUGCAGAAUUCAGUGAAUCAUCGAAUCUUUGAACGCACAUUGCGCCCCCUGGUAUUCCGGGGGGCAUGCCUGUCCGAGCGUCAUUACAACCCUCAAGCUCAGCUUGGUGUUGGGCCCCGCCGCCCCGGCGGGCCCUAAAGUCAGUGGCGGUGCCGUCCGGCUCCGAGCGUAGUAAUUCUUCUCGCUCUGGAGGUCCGGUCGUGUGCUCGCCAGCAACCCCCAAUUUUUUUCAGGUUGACCUCGGAUCAGGUAGGGAUACCCGCUGAACUUAAGCAUAUCAAUAAGCGGAGGA